UUAAUUAAAAACAUUUGGCCAUACCAUACUCUAGUCUCUUUACCAUUUCUUUCCCCUCUCCCCGGUGACCGCCGACCCUUCCCCCACAUCUUCUCGCUGUCGUAGAGAGAACUCUAUUUCAAAGUCAGAGAGAAUAAAGAAGAGAAUAGGGAAGAAAAAAGUGAGAGAAAAUGGCACUAAGAGAAUCUGUACUUCUCUAUGUUUGAGUCCCAAUUCAAACCCUAACCCCUGAUGAUCAUCGGAGUGUCUCAAAUUGCCCCCCUCUGCCUCUAUCAGACUACCACCCCUUUGUUAGCUCCUUCCCACCGUCUAACUCUCCGGCAUCUGGCUUAGCUUAUCCGACACUGGAGUAACCUGCCCAUUGUUUGAUGCUUCUUAUGGGCAUAAUUUAAGGUGAUAUUCACCGGCCUCAACUGUCUCAAUGCUUAAAGAGAGAAUCGUGGCUGAGUGGCCAAGGAAAAAAAAAAAAAAAAAAAAAGAAAUUUUGGAAAUCAUUGGUGGAGAUGACGAACGGGCGUUUGAGAAAAUUCUGAUGGAGCAAAAUACUGAAAUUUUUAUUUUUUUAACAAAUUUUAUAUUUUUUAAAUAUUAAAAAAAAUAAUAAUAAAAACAGUGAAAGAGAGCAGAGCAGGAAGAGAUAAAAGAUUGAGCUUUUUUCAGUUUUUUCGCUUACUAUAUAUCUCAUUUGUCAUGACGGAUAUAUUAAGGCCAAGGCCAAUACUGCCCAUCUUCAGCUGCGAUUCCUUGAUAUCACAUUCUGGUUUCUUCUUUGAAUUCUUGAUGUUCUUUAAUCUGGGUUCACUCUAGUUCCUUGUAUAUUGUUGAAAUUUUUCACAUAUUUCUGUUUUUCCGGAUUGAGUUUGAAAUGGCUGUGGCUAUGGCUUCUUUGAGUACUGGGGUUCACUUGAAUUGUAAUUAUAGUUCGAGGAGCUUUAUUAUUCCAUUGUCAAGUGGUUCUUUUGUGAAGGGACCCUUUGGCUUUGGCUUUGGCUCUAAAAGCUUCUACAUUAUUCCUAAGGAAAGGUAUGCUAAUCAAAUGUCUUUUGGUUUUCGAA